rnacentral:lncRNA from 1 species
AUAGUCAUUCGAAGAAUUAGGUCGAAUCGCGCCGCCAUAAUUUGGGUAAGAAUUUCUUUCAAUUUAUCCAUUUAUUCUCUACAUUACCCCAUUCGAUUAGACAUUUUUUUCACCAAUCCCAGAUAUGAUUUUAUUUCAGGAAAAAGGUGUGAAUGAAGCCGCACCCUUUGUAAUUGAUUUCAAGAAUUUUUUUUAGCGGUUUGGUCAAGAUGAAGCAAUACUCUGUUGAUCUUCAUCUGUUUGACCGAGCUGCUUCUGUAGAUCUCUACACCUCAAGUGUUGCGAUUGAUUGCUUUUGCCGUCUGAAAAUAGCUGAUUUGGGGUUUGCAAUCUUAGGCAGUUUUUGCAAGCGUGGGUUCGAUGAUUCUACUGUGGUAAAAUUCAAUGGGCUUUUGUUGGGAGUCAUGAAAAUUGUUGAAGAAGUUGUUGGUUGAGGAACUGUGUGAGCCAAAUGAAGUUAUUUAUCUUAGUUUGAUCGAUGAGUAUGCAAAGUUGAACAUACUCUCGAGCAAUGAUUGAUAGUCCAUGGAUAGUCUAUGCAAGGAUGGAAUGAGCUUGAUCAUUCAUGGAUGACUCUUUCAUUGAUGGAUUGUACGGUUUUUAGCUGAUAAGAACGAGGCUCAAGACAUUUUGAAAAUGAUCUUUAGCCGAUGGAACGAGGCUGAAGACAUUUUAAAGAUGAUCUUUAGCCGAUGGAACGAGGCUGAAGACAUGUUAAAGAUGAUCUUUAGUAGAUGAAACGAAGCUGAAAACAUGUUAAAGAUUAUAUUUAGUAGAUGGAAUGAAGUUGAAUACAUGUUAAAGAUUAUUUUUAGUAAAUAAAAUGAGGCUGAAGACAUUUUAAAAAAGUUGGUGGUGGAGUGAGAUUAAAAGGCUUGUAAUUUUUUAGUUGAUAUGAUAUGUUGAAGAAGAUGAUGGCUGAUGAGGAUUAUUGCAAAUAGUGUUAGUUGAUAUGAUAAGUUAGAAGAUGGUGGCCGUUGAUGUUAAUUUCACAAAGAGUCUUGUCUCAGAUGUGAAGAUGGCUUGAAUCUAUUUAACGAGAUGCAAGUUUGGAUGGCUCGUGCAAAUGCUCAUCAUCAUCAUAUUGCCGAAGCAUUUUCCUUGUUGUAUGCCAUGGAAAAGAAUGGUAUUAUUCUCAGUCCUUAUUGGGGCACUUUUAAAACAAGGGUAGAAAUAGGAUUUGGUGAUGCAAAUGGGUUGCUUGUGUGAUGAUGGUGUGAGGUAUAAUGUUUUUGUUGAAGCUCUUUUAAGAAGAAACAAGAUGUUGGAUCCAAUGCCAGUCUAGAAAGAGAUGAAUUCAAGGAGCUUCAUACUUGAUGCCACUACAUUUUCAGUGUUGUUUCAACAUUUAGAAACAGAGGAUCAAUGUAAUGUUCUUUUUUGUUAAGGUUUAGAAACUUGUAGCAAAUGAUAUGUAAUCUAUAGUCUACAAUUUAUAAUCAUCAAUUUUGA